AAAAAAGAUCAUUCUUUAUUUAACAAAACAACCAACCAAUAAAGAAAGCAGAACGCUUGCUUGGUAAAGGAAAAUAGAAAUGACCGAACACCAUUAACUGAAAUAAAGUAAAGAUUUCAUUUGGAAUACCAACUCUACAGGUCUGAUAUCAGACAAAACUUUAGUAGGCUAGUCAUGACAGUAAAAUGCAGCAAUUCACAAUAGCCUUAAUUUGUAAUACAUACUCAGUAUAUAUAAUAAUAUACAUUGAUGGCAGGUCACUUUGACAUUCCUGACAAUACAUUAAGUACUGUACCAUGAGCAUAACCUACAAGAUGACGGCGGAUUCAUGACCAACUACAACUAGGCUCCAGAGGUGGAGUCCAGAUGUUCAAAGUAAAUGUCCCGCCAUACACCCUGUCACGGGGGGCUUUUACUUUGACACUGAACAGGGAACGUUCUCUCUGGCUAUAAAGGCUGAGUGAUCAACAUUACAGGAUGUGUCACGUUACAUUACAGACUACAGAAGGACCUCGGGGGUCUCGUUAUGACUCCGAACUGUCACGUAAAUAAAAAGAGCCGCUGAUUAAAGAACGGCUUGUGCAGAAACAGUGACAUCACUGAACAGUAGGGGGCAGUGUAUCACCACAUCAUUCAUUGCCUAAAAAGAUUUGUCGUUCGACUCCAACUUUAGAUGAUCUACUUCCUGCUUAAAAGAUGCGUUUGCUCCAUCCAAUAGUGAAAAUAGUGUGUUGACCCAUGCUAUAAAUGAUCCAGUGUGGCACAAUGCCUAACAGGCACUUGUGUAAAACAAAAAUAAAGUGAAUGAAAGGCUCCAGGGAUAUCCAGUACAUCAACGUUUCAACACACUUCCUCUAAACCUUAAUAUCUACACUGUCAAUAUGAGACAGAAUGGUUUGGCAUCGGCAGUACAUGCUUCAAGACCUCAUGAUGGACACUUUGUGAAGCUUAACCUUUCCAUGGUUAGUAUCAAACAGGUUAGGAACACAAAGCUGGAAUACAGUGUGGAAAAUCAGCACAGGACAAGUUUGUGUUGAAUAAUAAAUCGAAACAGCUCAACACUGAGCGUCCGUUGGUCGGACCAAGAAGACCCAUUCCCCAAGCGGCCUGAUGGCUCAGCUGGACAGACAUGGUCGUUUGGUGUAGGUGCUGUAGGGUUUGGUAAAACGGUAUCGUCAUGAUGAAUCAUCUUUAUCUCUGAGAGUCUUGAUGUUGUGUCACUUUGUUCGUCCAGACGUGGUUCUGUGUGGAACUCAUUUCCUUUGGGGUUUGGUUGUGGCUCAAAUGAGGUUGAUGGAAUGGAUGAAACAUGAAGGAAACACUAGAAAACAUGAACUUUUUCUUGUAUAUUUCCAAACCAACUCAAGGUGCCCUUACUGACUUAAGUCCCUCAACUUCUCACCUCCAAAGCAGAGGCCUCACUUGAACUAAGUGCAGUAUGAUUGACAUUUGAAAUACUUUCAAGGACAUGUUUUCCUCUAACAGUGGCUUGAGCGGGUUCGCCAGCUGAGCCAGUUCCAGAAGAUCAUCUCAGGUGAAGAAGGAUAUCAGAGGAACAUCUCGGGAUAUCAGAGGAAGAUCUCGGGUGAGGAAGGAUAUCAGAGGCCAUGCUGGGGCCAGGAAUAAGAUGUGUCAUGACUGCACAAAUGCAAAGCUCUCUGCAACCACAAAGUGGAUUGCAGUGCCCCGGCCCUGAUUGCUUUCUCUCAUACUGCUUCUGCUACAGGGUUACGCACUUACAACAGGAUACAGCUUCCAACCCACCACUGGGAGACCAGUAUAUAAAUACAUACUGGGACAAAGAAAAGAGACAAAAGGUCUAAACACUGCCAAAUCUGCUUCUUAAUUAUACAUGUCACAUGGUCUAUAGUUCUGUUGCCGUAGAUUCUGAUUAUUCCGUAACUGUACACUGAGCGAGAUCAAUUACAAUCGCAAUGACGGAAAUUGUUAAAGCAAGAAAAUCAACGACGUUACUCUCUUUUAUGUGGCUCAAAGCCCUUCUGUGAUCCAAACUCCUUUAUCCAGAAUAUACCGUAUAAUCCAAACUCCUUUAUCCAGAAUAUACUGUAUAAUCCAAACUCCUUUAUCCAGAAUAUAUUAUUAAAAUAAAAGACACUAUUUAUUCUUAGCAUUUACCAAUAAACAUGAAUUCAAAGAAAGUUAAAUGAACAUGUCCUAAUCUUGGCUCCUUAGAUCCUGAUUCCUGCCCACUGGACCCUUCUAGAAUGCAGUCACGAGGACCAAGGAUAUUAUUGAUAUCAUGUUAAAUCAAAACACCUGAAAGAAAAGUGACAUGGUGUGCGAUCAGAAGGCAUGUGUAAAGCUGACAGAUUUUGCGAUGUUACACACACGACAAUAUGGUCUAUAGAGAUAUAUAGAGGGACUAAGACGGUACGCUACUCACACAAUAUAGAGACACACGAUACAUUCAUAUAUGUCAACACAUAAAUAUGUAUAUAUACACGUAUAUAUUCAUAUGUCUACAGAUAUCCAAGGAGGACUAAAUAGUGCCGUUAAUGAUGUGUGUCUGACGUGUCUCGCGGAUUAACGCUCAUGCUGUGGCGCCACCUGUAGCUCAUAUAUAGACGUACAAGCAUAUAUACUGUACAUCUAUACACUGUACAUAUAUAGAUGUACUAUAUAUGCACAGUAUAUAUGUACAGUAUAUAGAUGGUCAAUAUAUAUGUACAGUAUAUAGAUGUACAGUAUAUAGAUGUACAGUAUAGAUGUACAGUACAUAUAGAUGUACAGUAUAUAUGUACAGUAUAUAGAUACACAGUAUAUAAACGUACAGUACAUAUAGAUGUACAGUAUAUAUAUGUACAGAAUAAAAAUGUACAGUAUAUAAAUAUACAGUAUAUAUUUGUGCAGUACAUAUAUGUACGGUAUAUAGAUAUACAGUAUAUAGAUGUACAUAUGUACGGUAUAUGUGGCGUUCCAAGUGGGAAUGUGUGCAAAGGAAGUGUUUCCAUGGCGCCCAGUCAAACCCAACUCCCUUUGUGACCCAACUUAUGGCUACCUAACAUAUGCAAGUUGAGAUAUGAUAUACUUAUACCAACUAUAAGCUAAAUCAAAUACAUGUUUAAUGUAUACAUGAAAAGGGGACACAUUAAAGCACAACGGCUCCUCACUUCUGAUAACCGUGGGUUAUGAGACUUCUCUUUCCAGUCAGAACCCUUCCUAUUCGUCCACUCCCAAUGCUUCUCUGGAUCACAAUCGUUACUAAAGUACACCAGUCGUGGUAAGACGUGUCUGAUACGACACACACUCAAGAGGAGUAGGUCGACGGGAGAACCGCUGUAAUCUGAACUGGAUGCCUUAUUGUAAUCUGCACAUUCCUCUGUCCCCAUCCUGUAAAUGAUGACUUUAACCAUGUCUUCUCUCCUGAAACAUUCAUUGGAUUCUGAAUAUCGUUUCCGAAUAUAUUCAGAGUGUCAGCAUGUCCCCCGGGGUCGCUAGAGCGGGGGAACUGGUCAAGCGCUGUCCCUGGAUUUAGAUGAACCUUCAACAUUACUCGGUUCCCUAGCAAGUAAUCAAGAGCACAUGCCUUUAAGUCACUGCAAAUUGGCCUUUUGAACGGGUUUAAAGUCCAAACCAUCAUCACAAACAUAUGUUGAAAAAUAUGUCUGAUAUGUUGGUCAGUGGUGAUGCCUUUAUAGUGGAGCAUUACACCACCCGUAUCUCUAGAGAUGACAUGGUGCUGCCUUUAUAGUGGAGCAUUACACCACCCGUAUCUCUAGAGAUGACAUGGUGCUGCCUUUAUAGUGGAGCAUUACACCACCCGUAUCUCUAGAGAUGACAUGGUGCUGCCUUUAUAGUGGAGCAUUACACCACCCGUAUCUCUAGAGAUGACAUGGUGCUGCUUUUAUAGUGGAGCAUUACACCACCCGUAUCUAUAGAGAUGACAUGGUGCUGCCUUUAUAGUGGAGCAUUACACCACCCGUAUCUCUAGAGAUGACAUGGUGGUGCCUUUAUAGUGGAGCAUUACACCACCCGUAUCUCUAGAGAUGACAUGGUGCUGCCUUUAUAGUGGAGCAUUACACCACCCGUAUCUUUAGAGAUUACAUGGUUCUGCCUUUAUAGUGGAGCAUUACACCACCCGUAUCUAUAGAGAUUACAUGGUGCUGCCUUUAUAGUGCAGCAUUACUCCACCCGGGCCGCAUCUAAAGAGAUGACAUGGUGCUGCCAUUAAAGUGGAGUAAUGCACCACCCAUGGUGGUGCAUUACUCCACCCGUAUCUCUAGAGAUGACCUGGUGGUGCUGGGGAAGGGGGUAUUGACAUAUACUGCACUAAUACAAACAGAACAAGGCCUUGACAGGGGAUACCGCUGGCGUGUCUCACUACAGUAGGACACACACACCCGGGUCUAGAGUGUGUGGGAUGGCCUCAGAGGGGGGGGGGGGGGGGUCGCGGCUCCUGGCCGUGAGUCUGGCAGUGGCCAUAACUCUGGGUUAUGAGUGUGUGUUCCCAAGAUGGAUGACAUCGCUCUGCGCUGGCUGCAGAGACAAGGCGACAACCCAGGGUGGCAAUGAAGAUGCUGUAUUGUACUGUGUGUGUGUGUGUGUGUGUGUGUGUGUCUGUGUGUGUAUGUGUGUUUGUGUGCACUAGUGUACUGAGCUUGUGCACAGGGGGAUUAGGAGUGUGCACGUGUGGUCAAUUGUACGCGCACACUCCUUUUAUCCUACGAGUGGAUCAAUGAAAAGGGCCACUCAGAGUGCAAAGAUUGAUUUCAGGCCGGUUGUCAAACUAAGUUCUCCGAUGGAAUGUCUCCGUGCUCCUCUGGUCUCCGACUCCAUCUGUCUGGAGUCGGAGUCUCCGUGAAGAGGUCCCACAUGGACAUUUAUCCUGCAGUUUGGUCUUUGCUUUCAUACAAAACGUGAAGUACUUAAAAGCGACGGCAGGUCUUUUUGCGUACAAAAGCCUUAGAGGACGUUAACUACGGCCCAUUUCCUCUGAACUUUCGGGGAUCAAUUCGCCGUUGGCCGUGCGGCAGAGGGGCGUCGCCGGGGUUGUGCUGUAAUCUGGGGUUUGGCCUCGUGUUGAGGGGGUGGAGCGGACUGAGCCUCACCCCCUCACACUCAGGGAAUGUGGUGGAGAUCUCAGGUCACAAAUGACAUGUUGGAUUGGAACCAGUGGCACCACCUUCUAAAAAAAACACAAAAUACCCCAAUCUGAACCCUAAUCUGAAAUCUAAUCCCAAUCUGAGCCCUAAUCUGAACCCCAAUCUGAACCCUAAUAUGAGCCUUUAUCUGAGCCCUAAUCUGAACACUAAUCUGAGCCCUAAUCUGAGCCCUAAUCUGGACCCUAAU
ensembl:lncRNA